UCCCAAUGAAGAAACAUUCACGUCUUACUUCCUUUCUGGUCCCAGAAUUGGUAAAGGUGAAUCCACUAGGGCUGGCUGUGAGAGAAGAGCAAAAUUUGUUCCAGAAAGAACUAAGGAA
rnacentral:snoRNA from 17 species